GGGUGAGUAACACGUGGGCAAUCUGCCCUUCACUCUGGGACAAGCCCUGGAAACGGGGUCUAAUACCGGAUAUGAGCCUGGGAGGCAUCUCCCGGGUUGUAAAGCUCCGGCGGUGAAGGAUGAGCCCGCGGCCUAUCAGCUUGUUGGUGAGGUAAUGGCUCACCAAGGCGACGACGGGUAGCCGGCCUGAGAGGGCGACCGGCCACACUGGGACUGAGACACGGCCCAGACUCCUACGGGAGGCAGCAGUGGGGAAUAUUGCACAAUGGGCGAAAGCCUGAUGCAGCGACGCCGCGUGAGGGAUGACGGCCUUCGGGUUGUAAACCUCUUUCAGCAGGGAAGAAGCGAAAGUGACGGUACCUGCAGAAGAAGCGCCGGCUAACUACGUGCCAGCAGCCGCGGUAAUACGUAGGGCGCAAGCGUUGUCCGG
rnacentral:rRNA from 1 species